GGCGGCUAUAGCGAGAGGGAAACGCCCGGUCACAUUCCGAACCCGGAAGCUAAGACUCUCAGCGCCGAUGGUACUGCAGGGGGGACCCUGUGGGAGAGUAGGACACCGC
rnacentral:rRNA from 1 species